rnacentral:tRNA from 1 species
GUCCCGGUAGUAUAACUAUUACCCUGGUCUUGUAAACCAUAAAUGAGGCAAACGCGCCUCCCAGGACA